rnacentral:tRNA from 1 species
GGGCCCGUAGCUCAGCACGGCAGAGCGGCGGGCUUUUAACCCGACGGUCGCGGGUUCAAAUCCCGCCGGGCCCG